AUUGAACGCUGGCGGCAGGCCUAACACAUGCAAGUCGAACGAGUGGCGGACGGGUGAGUAAUGUCUGGGAAUCUGCCUGAUGGAGGGGGAUAACUUCUGGAAACGGUAGCUAAUACAGUAUACCAUUGGCUGUGCCCAGAUUGGAUUAGCUAGUAGGUGGGGUAACGGCUCACCUAAGCGACGAUCCCUAGCUGGUGUGAGAGGAUGACCAGCCCCCCUGGAACUGAGACACGGUCCAGACUAAUACGGGAGGCAACGGUGGAGAAUAUUACACAAUGGGAGCGAGCCUGAUGCGGACCAGCCGCGUGUAUGGAAGGGGCAUUGUGGUUGGAAAGUAAUUUCAGUUGAGAAGCGUUACCCGCAGAAGAAGCACCGGCUAACUCCGUGCCAGCAGCCGCGGUAAUUC
rnacentral:rRNA from 1 species